rnacentral:rRNA from 1 species
UUUUUAUCAUAGCUUGCUAUGAUAAAAAUUAGUGGCAGACGGGUGAGUAAUGCAUAGGAAUCUACCUAGUAGUAUGGGAUAGCCACUAGAAAUGGUGGGUAAUACUGUAUAAUCCCUGCGGGGGAAAGAUUUAUCGCUAUUAGAUGAGCCUAUGUUAGAUUAGCUAGUUGGUAGGGUAAAGGCCUACCAAGGCAGUGAUCUAUAGCUGGUCUGAGAGGAUGAUCAGCCACACUGGAACUGAGAUACGGUCCAGACUCCUACGGGAGGCAGCAGUGGGGAAUAUUGGACAAUGGGCGCAAGCCUGAUCCAGCUAUGCCGCGUGAGUGAGGAAGGCCUUAGGGUUGUAAA